rnacentral:rRNA from 1 species
GACGAACGCUGGCGGCGUGCUUAACACAUGCAAGUCGAACGGAAAGACCCUGCUUUUGUGGGGUGCUCGAGUGGCGAACGGGUGAGUAACACGUGAGUAACCUGCCCUUGACUUUGGGAUAACUUCAGGAAACUGGGGCUAAUACCGGAUAGGAGCUCCUGCUUCAUGGUGGGGGUUGGAAAGUUUCGGCGGUUGGGGAUGGACUCGCGGCUUAUCAGCUUGUUGGUGGGGUAGUGGCUUACCAAGGCUUUGACGGGUAGCCGGCCUGAGAGGGUGACCGGCCACAUUGGGACUGAGAUACGGCCCAGACUCAGACGGGAGGCAGCAGUGGGGAAUAUUGCACAAUGGGCGGAAGCCUGAUGCAGCAACGCCGCGUGCGGGAUGACGGCCUUCGGGUUGUAAACCGCUUUCGCCUGUGACGAAGCGUGAGUGACGGUAAUGGGUAAAGAAGCACCGGCUAACUACGUG